GAUGAAGAACGUAGCGAAAUGCGAAAAGUAGUGUGAAUUGCAGAAUUCAGUGAAUCAUCGAAUCUUUGAACGCACAUUGCGCCCGCCAGUAUUCUGGCGGGCAUGCCUGUCCGAGCGUCAUUUCAACCCUCGAACCCCUCCGGGGGGUCGGCGUUGGGGAUCGGCACUUACCUGCCGGCCCCGAAAUACAGUGGCGGUCUCGCCGCAGCCUCUCCUGCGCAGUAGUUUGCACACUCGCACCGGGAGCGCGGCGCGUCCACGGCCGUAAAACAACCCAAACUUCUGAAAUGUUGACCUCGGAUCAGGUAGGAAUACCCGCUGAACUUAAGCAUAUCAAUAAGCGGAGGA
rnacentral:misc_RNA from 1 species